GCUCAAGUGGUAAGGCAGUAGCCUUUAGCAAAAGAAGCUCAGGGACAGUGCGUAGGCCAAGAGUUCAAGCUCCACGACCAGCAAAAAUUAAUUAGUUAAUUUUUAAAAGAUACAGGUCUGGGCAGCUCGCCAAGAACUGUUAACAGCUUUGCUUUAAUAAUUUGCUUUCUAAAUGGAUUGGGGAGAAAAUAAUUUCUUUUCUCAGUGAGAAUUUCUUUUACCCUCAGUGGUGGAAACAAGUAGUACUUUCAUUAGAAGUUGAGCACAGUUGGUACAGUAUGGUAGACUCUUUGCAAGGCUCAGGCCUGUGCAACUGUUUUGGAGGGAACUGUCCUGGAGUAUGAUUCAGAAUACUUGGGGAACCUUCUCUGAAAUGCAUUGAAACACAUAAAAAUAGGAAUAAUAUCUGACUAACCAUAGCCUAAUUUAUAGGGGUGCAGUGUGGGUGAAUGGGGGCUGGGGAAGAAAUGAUCAGGAUUAAAAGGCUUAUGGGCACAUCUUUAUUAGUAAGUAUUUUUUAUAAGAACAAAAACAUUGCACCAAGAAAGCCAAGCUUAAUCUUUUCUCAUUAUUACUGAGUGGUCAGUACUUAACUUUGUUUUUUGGGUAAGUUAAGAAGUAGUGGCAAACAAAUCAGUGCCACUGCCCCAUCAAAAAGAAUGCCCUGUUUUUCCAGUGUGCUAUCUGUCUUGUCAGUUUUCUUAGCUAAUUUUCAUCACAUCUCAGGGUUCCAGGUCUAGAAUUUAUUUGUGAAAAUGGAAUUGGGAACUGCUAGAAGGUGAUAUAAGUCAUCUAGCUUAUUUUGGAUUUAAUGGUGUUGGUGAGAUAUUUCAACUGAAUUUAAGCUGAGAACUAGAAAUAAUUCCAUAACAGAAAAAAUAAACACUGCAUUACGGCUUUCUUACUCACACCAAAGACACUUCAUCAAAUACCCAUUAUUUUUUAGGCUUUAAUAUUUCAAUUGUACAUAUGCACCAUUAGGGGUAGAUCGUAAGAAAUGUUUGCUUUAACGAGAAGGAAAUGCUACAACAAUGUGCAGUAACACCUUUCCCACCUUCCUAGAAUUCAGUAGUGGCAAGUUUGCAACUGGAGGAAGUGUGGUCUUCCAGUGGAAAAAUGAGCUAUGAGAUAAUAAAGGUAGCAUUUGAUUCCUAUCUACUGAGGAGUAAGUGUGAGAUCAUGUAGUUCUGAAGACAAAGCAUGUAACCACAUUCACACACACACACACAAAUUGCUGUAAAGUCAUAGUAUAUUUGCAAAAGCCAUUAUUAUUUUGGGACAUGACAUAGUGUAUACAAACUAAAGAAAUAAAAUAUGAUGAAAUAUACCAAUACCUCCUUCCAUCACACAUGAAUCAUGCACUUUUGGUGUACUUUUCCCCUGGGAUUUUUAAGAACAAGAUAGUGUUGUUUUCAUCCUAAUGAAAACCAAAUGAUUCAACUAGUCACACACAUCAAGAUAACAAACAAGUAAUGUCUAAGAAGAAUGUUUUCAUUUUCAAUCUCACUUUCCCUUUCAGUACAAUAUGUCACUGGGUGUUACAGAAUUCCAAUCUGUAAGUUUAAUGCUUGGCACUUUGUGUUUCUCUCACUCUCUCUUUUUAUUAUUCUCAACUUUCACAAUUGUGCCCACUAACCAAAGCAUCAACUAUUUAUAUAGUUUUGUAAUGUUAUAAUUAUAUAUUUUUCUGAAUAGACAAAUUAAUAAAAUUUGGUCAAUAAGAGAUCCAAAUGAGAUUUGUAUUUGAUCACUGAAGACUUUGAUUUUGCAAAAAUAUUUGGUAUGUUGCAUAUAGUUAUUAUACCUAUGUAACCACUGCUCCUUACAAGUAUUGCUGUAGUUUUUUCAAUACAUCGAUAUCUCCUUGUUUUGAAUCUGCAGGUAAUGCUGAAUGAAGCAAUAUAGAGCAAUUCUCAGGUUUGUCUGGCUUUUGUGGGGGUGGAAUGAGAGAAGUUUAUCAAAAAUUCUGUCCUACAAAUUGAUAUUCUAAAGCCCUCUGAAGUUUUAUUUCCUCAUAAGUAGGGACAAGAACUUUCUUUUUCAUCUUUCAAAGUUGGCUGUGGGUUUCAGGGAACUUACAAUUUUGUAGUGGAUAAUAUUACAGUAUAGGCAACUAUAGUUACCAUAUUGUCAUAGGAUUCUUACAUGUGAGAUGAAAUAUUUGUUUCAGAAUAUUUUAUCCGUUUCUAAUUGCAAGCUCUUUGUUUUACAUUACUUCUCAUUUCCUCUAGCUUAAACAUCAUUCAUGAACCAAGUCAAAAGCUACAGUGUUGCAAUUGAUAAAGGUCUUGGUUUUGAUCGCUUAUUUGUAGGGUUUAAUCAGGUUGCUUCAUUAUGUAUUAGUGAUUUUUUCUCCCUGGAUUACUACCAUUCUGCAAUCUUUCAAGUGAUGUAUUUUCAAAUAAUUUACUUUCCUGAGAUCGUAUCCUGCACUGUUACACCCCCCCCAAAAAAAACAAACAACUCAUACAUUCUGUAAUGAAUAUUUCAAUAGGGUAAGUUCAAAUGCAUUUAGAAGGCAAGAUUAUCAGUUGCUUGCUUGCAUUCCUCGUGUGCAUUAUUGGCUUUGUGUCACAAUGGGGUCAUGAAUGCAAGCUUUAAUAGCGUUAGUGCUGUAAAAUUACUCAGCCAAAACCUCCACAGGGAGGAACACAAAAGAUUAACUGGAAAAGAUGUGAAUCUUCUGUUUUUUGGGGAUGGAAACUGAGGAGACUUUGAUACAAAUCUCAUUUCUGAAGACUGAAAGUUUCUUCCAAAUGCUUUUUCUUAUUCAUAUUGAUUGUUGUCAGAAACGUAUUUACUGAAGCUCAAAAAAUAUUACAAAUGUAUGACAGUAAACAUUUCUUGCUUGACAUUUUAUUAGGCAAUGACAUCUAUAAAGAAAAUUGAGUGACUUGUGUUGCAGGAACCAUGUUUUCAGGAUUCUGAAGAUAAAUGCUUGAUGGUUGGCAGUAUGCAGAGUGUCCCAGAACUGGGACAUAGACUCAAAAUACUGCAUCAAAAAUAACUAUUAAUUAUGACACAUUUCAAACAGGUGAUUUCUGAUAUUAAUUUGUAGUUUAUUCUCAGAAAAGAUUUUGGUGUGAGAUUUGAUCAAUAAAAAUUCAAAUUUCAAGAUGUU